AUACGUAGGGAGCAAGCGUUGUCCGGAUUUACUGGGUGUAAAGGGCGCGCAGGCGGGUCAAUAAGUCAGAGGUGAAAUCCUACAGCCCAACUGUAGAACUGCCUUUGAUACUGUUGAUCUUGAGUAUGGAAGAGAGAGACGGAAUUCCAGGUGUAGUGGUGAAAUACGUAGAUAUCUGGAAGAACACCAGUUGCGAAGGCGGUCUCUUGGUCCAAUACUGACGCUGAGGCGCGAAAGCGUGGGUAGCAAACAGGAUUAGAAACCCGAGUAGUCC
rnacentral:rRNA from 1 species